rnacentral:tRNA from 1 species
GAGGGUAUAGCUCAGGGGUAGCGCGUGUGCUUAGCAUGCAUGAGGUCCUGGGUUCAAUCCCCAGUGCCUCCA